UGUGAGCUCGAUGAGUAGGGCGGGACACGUGGUAUCCUGUCUGAAUAUGGGGGGACCAUCCUCCAAGGCUAAAUACUCCUGACUGACCGAUAGUGAACCAGUACCGUGAGGGAAAGGCGAAAAGAACCCCGGCGAGGGGAGUGAAAAAGAACCUGAAACCGUGUACGUACAAGCAGUGGGAGCACGCUUAGGCGUGUGACUGCGUACCUUUUGUAUAAUGGGUCAGCGACUUAUAUUCUGUAGCAAGGUUAACCGAAUAGGGGAGCCGAAGGGAAACCGAGUCUUAACUGGGCGUUAAGUUGCAGGGUAUAGACCCGAAACCCGGUGAUCUAGCCAUGGGCAGGUUGAAGGUUGGGUAACACUAACUGGAGGACCGAACCGACUAAUGUUGAAAAAUUAGCGGAUGACUUGUGGCUGGGGGUGAAAGGCCAAUCAAACCGGGAGAUAGCUGGUUCUCCCCGAAAGCUAUUUAGGUAGCGCCUCGUGAAUUCAUCUCCGGGGGUAGAGCACUGUUUCGGCAAGGGGGUCAUCCCGACUUACCAACCCGAUGCAAACUGCGAAUACCGGAGAAUGUUAUCACGGGAGACACACGGCGGGUGCUAACGUCCGUCGUGAAGAGGGAAACAACCCAGACCGCCAGCUAAGGUCCCAAAGUCAUGGUUAAGUGGGAAACGAUGUGGGAAGGCCCAGACAGCCAGGAUGUUGGCUUAGAAGCAGCCAUCAUUUAAAGAAAGCGUAAUAGCUCACUGGUCGAGUCGGCCUGCGCGGAAGAUGUAACGGGGCUAAACCAUGCACCGAAGCUGCGGCAGCGACGCUGAUGCGUUGUUGGGUAGGGGAGCGUUCUGUAAGCCUGCGAAGGUGUGCUGUGAGGCAUGCUGGAGGUAUCAGAAGUGCGAAUGCUGACAUAAGUAACGAUAAAGCGGGUGAAAAGCCCGCUCGCCGGAAGACCAAGGGUUCCUGUCCAACGUUAAUCGGGGCAGGGUGAGUCGACCCCUAAGGCGAGGCCGAAAGGCGUAGUCGAUGGGAAACAGGUUAAUAUUCCUGUACUUGGUGUUACUGCGAAGGGGGGACGGAGAAGGCUAUGUUGGCCGGGCGACGGUUGUCCCGGUUUAAGCGUGUAGGCUGGUUUUCCAGGCAAAUCCGGAAAAUCAAGGCUGAGGCGUGAUGACGAGGCACUACGGUGCUGAAGCAACAAAUGCCCUGCUUCCAGGAAAAGCCUCUAAGCAUCAGGUAACAUCAAAUCGUACCCCAAACCGACACAGGUGGUCAGGUAGAGAAUACCAAGGCGCUUGAGAGAACUCGGGUGAAGGAACUAGGCAAAAUGGUGCCGUAACUUCGGGAGAAGGCACGCUGAUAUGUAGGUGAAGUCCCUUGCGGAUGGAGCUGAAAUCAGUCGAAGAUACCAGCUGGCUGCAACUGUUUAUUAAAAACACAGCACUGUGCAAACACGAAAGUGGACGUAUACGGUGUGACGCCUGCCCGGUGCCGGAAGGUUAAUUGAUGGGGUCAGCGCAAGCGAAGCUCUUGAUCGAAGCCCCGGUAAACGGCGGCCGUAACUAUAACGGUCCUAAGGUAGCGAAAUUCCUUGUCGGGUAAGUUCCGACCUGCACGAAUGGCGUAAUGAUGGCCAGGCUGUCUCCACCCGAGACUCAGUGAAAUUGAACUCGCUGUGAAGAUGCAGUGUACCCGCGGCAAGACGGAAAGACCCCGUGAACCUUUACUAUAGCUUGACACUGAACAUUGAGCCUUGAUGUGUAGGAUAGGUGGGAGGCUU
rnacentral:rRNA from 1 species